AUUUAAAGGAAGUACCUGGACCUUUGAAUGUAUCUACCUGAGUGCUUGCGGAGAAUUUCUCUGAGCUUCUCUGACCCUAGAGAAUCUUUAGAAUAUACUAUGAGAUUUCUUUCGGUAUCUUCUAGUCUCCAAAUUCGGAAGGAAAUCGGGCCCUUCUCUCAAAUAGCACUUCGUCAGGAGUCAUACCAGUGGACUCGUGAACGGAAGUAUUAAAGGAAAAAACUGGCAAACGGAAGUCACUGGUCCCAGUUACUUCGCUCACUAUAAUUGCAUCAAUGACAGAGUCGGACAGGAAAGGCAUUCCUAACAUUCCGUUGCAACUUGCGGGAAAAUUAUUCGGUAUUAUUUGAAAAGGACAAUCAACCCCAUUAAUAUUUAUGUACACUUCUCCAGAGGUCUUUACCCCUUGACUGGUAAUUCCAAAUAAAUGAUAUCUGACAUCAAAA